rnacentral:rRNA from 1 species
CUACGGGGGGCUGCAGUGAGGAAUAUUGCACAAUGGGGGGAACCCUGAUGCAGCAACGCCGCGUGGAGGAAGACGCAUUUCGGUGUGUAAACUCCUUUUAUAUGUCAAGAAAAUGACGGUAGCAUAUGAAUAAGCGCCGGCUAACUCCGUGCCAGCAGCCGCGGUAAUGACGGAGGGCGCAAGCGUUACUCGGAAUCACUGGGCGUAAAGGACGCGUAGGCGGGUUGAAAAGUCAGGUGUGAAAGCCUACAGCUUAACUGUAGAACUGCACUUGAAACUCUCAAUCUAGAGUAUGGGAGGGGCAGAUGGAAUUAGUGGUGUAGGGGUAAAAUCCGUAGAUAUCACUAGGAAUACCUAAAGCGAAGGCGAUCUCCUGGAACAUUACUGACGCUAAGGCGUGAAAGCGUGGGGAGCAAACAGGAUUAGAUACCCUGGUAGUC